UUCCAGACUCCUACGGGAGGCAGCAGUGGGGGAUAUUGCACAAUGGGGGAAACCCUGAUGCAGCGACGCCGCGUGGGUGAAGAAGCGCCUCGGCGCGUAAAGCCCUGUCAGCAGGGAAGAAAAUGACGGUACCUGAAGAAGAAGCCCCGGCUAACUACGUGCCAGCAGCCGCGGUAAUACGUAGGGGGCAAGCGUUAUCCGGAUUUACUGGGUGUAAAGGGAGCGUAGACGGCCAGACAGGUCAGAAGUGAAAGCCCAGGGCUCAACUCUGGGACUGCUUUUGAAACUGCCGGGCUGGAGUGCAGGAGAGGUAAGCGGAAUUCCUAGUGUAGCGGUGAAAUGCGUAGAUAUUAGGAGGAACACCAGUGGCGAAGGCGGCUUACUGGACUGUAACUGACGUUGAGGCUCGAAAGCGUGGGGAGCAAACAGGAUUAGAUACCCCGGUACG
rnacentral:rRNA from 1 species